UUCCAUUGCUGAAAGUUAAAG
rnacentral:piRNA from 1 species